GAUGAACGCUGGCGGCGUGCUUAACACAUGCAAGUCGAACGUGAGGGUGCAGCGAUGUGCCUGAAAGUGGCGAACGGGUGAGUAACACGUAGAUGACCUGCCCUGGAGUGGGGGAUAACCAUUGGAAACGGUGGCUAAUACCGCAUACAUCCGGAGAACUGGGAAGUUUUCUGGGGAAAGCUCUGGUGCUUCAGGAGGGGUCUGCGUCCGAUUAGCUAGUUGGUGGGGUAAAGGCUCACCAAGGCGACGAUCGGUAGCUGGUCUGAGAGGACGAUCAGCCACACGGGAACUGAGACACGGUCCCGACUCCUACGGGGGGCAGCAGUGAGGAAUAUUGGGCAAUGGGCGGAAGCCUGACCCAGCAACGCCGCGUGGAGGAAGACGGCCUUGGUUGUAAACUCCUCUUGACGGGAAGAGAGAGGACGGUACCCGUCGAAUAAGUCACGGCUAACUACAUGCCAGCAGCCGCGGUAAU
rnacentral:rRNA from 1 species